GNNNNNNNNNNNNNNCUAUACNUGCAGUCGAGCGAAUGACGAGGAGCUUGCUCCUCUGAUUUAGCGGCGGACGGGUGAGUAACACGUGGGUAAUCUGCCUGUAAGACGGGGAUAACUCCGGGAAACCGGGGCUAAUACCGGAUAAUAAGAAGAAACGCAUGUUUCUUUUUUGAAAGUCGGUUUCGGCUGACACUUACAGAUGAGCCCGCGGCGCAUUAGCUAGUUGGUGAGGUAACGGCUCACCAAGGCGACGAUGCGUAGCCGACCUGAGAGGGUGAUCGGCCACACUGGGACUGAGACACGGCCCAGACUCCUACGGGAGGCAGCAGUAGGGAAUCUUCGGCAAUGGGCGAAAGCCUGACCGAGCAACGCCGCGUGAGCGAUGAAGGCCUUCGGGUCGUAAAGCUCUGUUGUUAGAGAAGAACAAGUACGAGAGUAACUGCUCGUACCUUGACGGUACCUAACCAGAAAGCCACGGCUAACUACGUGCCAGCAGCCGCGGUAAUACGUAGGUGGCAAGCGUUAUCCGGAAUUAUUGGGCGUAAAGCGCGCGCAGGCGGUCUCUUAAGUCUGAUGUGAAAGCCCACGGCUCAACCGUGGAGGGUCAUUGGAAACUGGGAGACUUGAGUGCAGGAGAGAAAAGUGGAAUUCCACGUGUAGCGGUGAAAUGCGUAGAGAUGUGGAGGAACACCAGUGGCGAAGGCGGCUUUUUGGCCUGUAACUGACGCUGAGGCGCGAAAGCGUGGGGAGCAAACAGGAUUAGAUACCCUGGUAGUCCACGCCGUAAACGAUGAGUGCUAGGUGUUUGGGGGGGUUCCACCCUCAGUGCUGAAGUUAACACAUUAAGCACUCCGCCUGGGGAGUACGACCGCAAGGUUGAAACUCAAAGGAAUUGACGGGGGCCCGCACAAGCAGUGGAGCAUGUGGUUUAAUUCGAAGCAACGCGAAGAACCUUACCAGGUCUUGACAUCCUCUGACCACUCUAGAGAUAGAGCUUCCCCUUCGGGGGANAGANUGACNGNNNNCAUGGNNGUCGUCAGCUCGUGUCGUGAGANGNUNGGGUUAAGUCCCGCAACGAGCGCAACCCUUG
rnacentral:rRNA from 1 species